GUCUGGGAGAGGCCACGCGCCCCCGGGUCCAGGUGAGGCCACGCGCCCCUGGAUCCGGGUGAGGC